AGGGGCGUAGCCAAGUGGUAAGGCAGCGGGUUUUGAUCCCGCCAUGCGUAGGUUCGAGUCCUUCCGCCCCUGCCA
rnacentral:tRNA from 1 species